rnacentral:sRNA from 1 species
UUUUAGCCCCGAUUGAAGAGAAAAUAAAAAAACCUUUCUGGUGUUCAGAAAGGUUUUUUUAUUGUAACGAAAAGCGGGAAUUGCA